AUUUUAUACAGCUGAAGAUUACAGCUGUUUGCACGUUAGGGCUGGGAAACAAUUUGUCGAGUGAGCCCUAGCUCGUUGGGGUUGUUCUGUGGGCUUCCAAUUUGUUGGGCUGUUUUGUGGGCUCACAUAUAUUCCUUGUGUGAUUUAAUUACUAUACCUGCACAAGUAAAAUUGUCAUCAUAAAAACUUGACACUAACAUAUAGCUCGGGAUCAGUGGGCUUCUUUUGUGAACUACCGUUUGAGAGACGAAACUCAGAAAAUGUGUAAAACAAAUGCCGAAAAUCAAUAAAAGCAAACAAUUCCCCACACUGGUGGCUCAAAGCCGAACUCUAGAAGAAGGGCUGAAAUGGAAAAAAUUCAGCUAGCAGUGAGUCAAAGUACUGUGGAUGAGUCUGAAAUUUCUCCCAACGAUGUUGUGGGUAAGGUGCUAGGAAAAGAGCAUUCUGGGAGGGUAAGAUGUUUGGGAUUAGGAGCUACUCCAAGCAUUCAUUUUAAACAAACAAAACCCCGUGUUGGUGGUAUUAGAAUUCCAAGUAAUGAUGUUGGAUGUUCUUCUUUCUGAUGUCAAGACAAGUACAAUAAAUUGUUGAAUACUCUCAAAGCCUACAUGAUAAUGAAGGAAGGGUCAAUACCGGAACAAUUUGCUGGGAUAUUUGGUUCACCUCCUACAAUGGUAAAACAAUUUGCUCAUUUUAAUUUUCUGCUUGAUUUACUGGGCUCUUCACUUCCCUACAAUUUGCUUGAUUGCCCACUUACGAGAUUUUAGUUUUCUACUUGAUUUUAGGAAGGGUUUUUAAAUGUGCAUAACUUUUUGUUCCUGCUAUUAAUUACUUUUGCUGUGUCCUGAGGGUUGACCAGAAAUUUAACAUCUGUUUAGCAAAAACAACAAUUGUUUCUUUAUCUUCUGUUUUGACAUAAAAGAGAUGCAUUUAAAUCAUCUGUUUCUUUUAGUGCAUAAAUAGUAUAUUUGAGUAUGAAAAUAUGAGUUUUGUCCAGUGUUUAAGAAUCUGAAUUCAUUUUAAUCUUGCUAUAUUAGGGCAUACUGCUAUUCCUUCUUAUUUUUAUUCCUCGUAAGACAGUAGCACGUACUAUCAUUCAUGGUAUUGCUAAAAAUUUCAGGAAGUAGGAAUUAUGAAACCAUUAGUGAUUCCAUCAAAGUGGCAGAAUUUCAGAACAUGUGUGUUGAUAAUUGCAUGUUUGGUUUGUAUUGCCAUGAAGAGUUUUUUAGAAACUAAUUUACGUAAACGACAAUGUUGUAGCAUGAUCUUAACGUAUUAUACUAUAAUUAUUAUACUAAUUAACAACUAACUGAUGUUUUAUUUUGAAUCUUCUUAAUGGAGACCAAGCAGAAAAAGCCUUCAGGUCUUUAAAGUCUUGAAUUAUGAUAGCUUUUGGAUAAGUGUAUAGCAAUAUAGUAACAUAUAUAGUUGAGCCUGAGAUCAUGAAAGAGAGGAAUUAGAAAUCAAUGAAACAAUUUGUGCUAAUAUUUUGUAUUUGUGUUUUUCAGUUUAUAUAGAUACAAUGUUGACCUCUAAUCAAGUUCAUAUGGAUUCUUCAUAAGAAAUGAAGCUGGUGAUUUGAUAGUUGAUAUAAUUCAAACCUAGGGAGAUUCACAUAGCUCUACUAAUAUAAUGGCAUUGCUUAUUUGCUUGUGGGCUACUGGAAAAGGAGUUUGUUGCUUAAAAAUGUGGUGACUGAUUAUUUGUACUGUCCUUAGUUGUGUCCUUUACUGUGGAUUAGUUUCUUGUUUCCAUAUUCUCUGUAUUUGUGGUACUGUUAUAUACCAAAAUUCAUAUUUUGGUUUGAAUUUGCAUGAUUUAAUUAAGUUGGCAGCUACUUCAUUUCAGCUACAAUAAUCCAAUUGUAUACCAAGCUCUGAAUUUUGUUGAAUCGGUGAAAAAAGUUUUAUCAUCCUUGUUUUUCUUAAUUAUCCAUUCUAGCUACUUCACAAAUCUCUCUUUCUUUGUAGUCGAGUGACGCAGGUAGCAGCUAGCGGAUCCAUGGAUUCAAGAUUUUCUAGCUCUAGUAAUCAUGUAAUAUGAUUAGUUGACUAAAGUGGAUUUGUGACGAUUUCAGUUGAUGACAUUUACUUGUCUUAGUAUUUUGUAUGCUUUAAUGGAAUGUUGAUAUUUCUCAAUUUUGA